rnacentral:rRNA from 1 species
GUGAGGAAUAUUGGACAAUGGGCGCAAGCCUGAUCCAGCCAUGCCGCGUGCAGGAAGACGCAUCUAUGGUGUGUAAACUGCUUUUGUACGGGAAGAAACACUCCCUCGUGAGGGAGCUUGACGGUACCGUAAGAAUAAGGAUCGGCUAACUCCGUGCCAGCAGCCGCGGUAAUACGGAGGAUCCAAGCGUUAUCCGGAAUCAUUGGGUUUAAAGGGUCCGUAGGCGGUUUAAUAAGUCAGUGGUGAAAGCCCAUCGUUCAACGAUGGAACGGCCAUUGAUACUGUUAGACUUGAAUUACAAGGAAGUAACUAGAAUAUGUAGUGUAGCGGUGAAAUGCUUAGAUAUUACAUGGAAUACCAAUUGCGAAGGCAGGUUACUACUUGUGGAUUGACGCUGAUGGACGAAAGCGUGGGGAGCGAACAGGAUUAGAAACCCCGGUAGUCC